UACGAAGGGUGCAAGCGUUAAUCGGAAUUACUGGGCGUAAAGCGUGCGUAGGCGGUUUGUUAAGUCUGUUGUGAAAUCCCCGGGCUCAACCUGGGAAUGGCAAUGGAUACUGGCAAGCUAGAGUGUGAUAGAGGAUGGUGGAAUUCCCGGUGUAGCGGUGAAAUGCGUAGAGAUCGGGAGGAACAUCAGUGGCGAAGGCGGCCAUCUGGAUCAACACUGACGCUGAGGCACGAAAGCGUGGGGAGCAAACAGGG
rnacentral:rRNA from 1 species